GGGCCGUUAGCUCAUCUGGUAGAGCACAUCAUUUGCAAUGAUGGGGUGGCAGGUUCGAGUCCUGUACGGUCCACCA
rnacentral:tRNA from 1 species